rnacentral:rRNA from 1 species
AACGACUCUCGGCAACGGAUAUCUCGACUCUCACAUCGAUGAAGAAUGUAGCGAAAUGCGAUACUUAGUGUGAAUUGUAGAAUGCCGUGAACCAUCGAGUCUUUAAACACAAGUUGUGCCUGAAGCCAUUAGGCUAAGGGCACAUCCGGUUGGGUGUCACGCAAUG